GAUGAACGCUAGCGACAGGCUUAACACAUGCAAGUCGAGGGGCAGCAGGGGAGUAGCAAUACUCCCGCUGGCGACCGGCGCACGGGUGAGUAACACGUAUGCAACCUGCCCUUGUCAGGGGGAUAAGCGGAAGAAAUUCCGUCUAAUACCGCAUAACGCUGCGGGGAGACAUCUCCCUGCAGCCAAAGAUUUAUCGGACAAGGAUGGGCAUGCGGCGCAUUAGCUUGUUGGCGGGGUAACGGCCCACCAAGGCGACGAUGCGUAGGGGUUCUGAGAGGAAGGUCCCCCACACUGGUACUGAGACACGGACCAGACUCCUACGGGAGGCAGCAGUGAGGAAUAUUGGUCAAUGGCCGGGAGGCUGAACCAGCCAAGUCGCGUGAGGGAAGACGGUCCUAUGGAUUGUAAACCUCUUUUGUCAGGGAGCAAAAACUGCCACGCGUGGCGGGAUGAGAGUACCUGAAGAAAAAGCAUCGGCUAACUCCGUGCCAGCAGCCGCGGUAAUACGGAGGAUGCGAGCGUUAUCCGGAUUUAUUGGGUUUAAAGGGUGCGUAGGCGGACAGUUAAGUCAGCGGUAAAAUUGAGAGGCUCAACCUCUUCCCGCCGUUGAAACUGAUUGUCUUGAGUGGGCGAGAAGUAUGCGGAAUGCGUGGUGUAGCGGUGAAAUGCAUAGAUAUCACGCAGAACUCCGAUUGCGAAGGCAGCAUACCGGCGCCCAACUGACGCUGAAGCACGAAAGCGUGGGUAUCGAACAGGAUUAGAUACCCUGGUAGUCCACGCAGUAAACGAUGAAUACUAAUUGUUCGGGUCGAGUGAGAUCUGAGUGAUACAGCGAAAGCGUUAAGUAUUCCACCUGGGGAGUACGCCGGCAACGGUGAAACUCAAAGGAAUUGACGGGGGCCCGCACAAGCGGAGGAACAUGUGGUUUAAUUCGAUGAUACGCGAGGAACCUUACCCGGGCUCAAACGACACAGGAAUGAUCUGAGAAAUCAGGCAGUCCUUCGGGACCUGUGUCGAGGUGCUGCAUGGUUGUCGUCAGCUCGUGCCGUGAGGUGUCGGCUUAAGUGCCAUAACGAGCGCAACCCCCAUCGACAGUUGCCAGCAGGUCAAGCUGGGCACUCUGUCGAGACUGCCGGCGCAAGCUGUGAGGAAGGCGGGGAUGACGUCAAAUCAGCACGGCCCUUACGUCCGGGGCGACACACGUGUUACAAUGGCAGGUACAGCGGGAAGCCACCUGGCGACAGGGAGCGGAACCCGAAAGCCUGUCUCAGUUCGGAUUGGAGUCUGCAACUCGACUCCAUGAAGCUGGAUUCGCUAGUAAUCGCGCAUCAGCCACGGCGCGGUGAAUACGUUCCCGGGCCU
rnacentral:rRNA from 1 species